rnacentral:rRNA from 1 species
AACGAACGCUGGCGGCAUGCCUAACACAUGCAAGUCGAACGAAGCCUUCGGGCUUAGUGGCGCACGGGUGCGUAACGCGUGGGAAUCUGCCCUUGGGUUCGGAAUAACAGUUAGAAAUGACUGCUAAUACCGGAUGAUGUCUUCGGACCAAAGAUUUAUCGCCCAAGGAUGAGCCCGCGUAGGAUUAGGUAGUUGGUGGGGUAAUGGCCCACCAAGCCGACGAUCCUUAGCUGGUCUGAGAGGAUGAUCAGCCACACUGGGACUGAGACACGGCCCAGACUCCUACGGGAGGCAGCAGUGGGGAAUAUUGGACAAUGGGCGAAAGCCUGAUCCAGCAAUGCCGCGUGAGUGAUGAAGGCCUUCGGGUUGUAAAGCUCUUUUACCAGGGAUGAUAAUGACAGUACCUGGAGAAUAAGCUCCGGCUAACUCCGUGCCAGCCGCCGCGGUAA